rnacentral:rRNA from 1 species
UAAACGAUGAGUGCUAAGUGUUAGGGGGUUUCCGCCCCUUAGUGCUGCAGCUAACGCAUUAAGCACUCCGCCUGGGGAGUACGGUCGCAAGACUGAAACUCAAAGGAAUUGACGGGGGCCCGCACAAGCGGUGGAGCAUGUGGUUUAAUUCGAAGCAACGCGAAGAACCUUACCAGGUCUUGACAUCCUCUGACAACCCUAGAGAUAGGGCUUUCCCUUCGGGGACAGAGUGACAGGUGGUGCAUGGUUGUCGUCAGCUCGUGUCGUGAGAUGUUGGGUUAAGUCCCGCAACGAGCGCAACCCUUGAUCUUAGUUGCCAGCAUUUAGUUGGGCACUCUAAGGUGACUGCCGGUGACAAACCGGAGGAAGGUGGGGAUGACGUCAAAUCAUCAUGCCCCUUAUGACCUGGGCUACACACGUGCUACAAUGGACAGAACAAAGGGCUGCGAGACCGCAAGGUUUAGCCAAUCCCAUAAAUCUGUUCUCAGUUCGGAUCGCAGUCUGCAACUCGACUGCGUGAAGCUGGAAUCGCUAGUAAUCGCGGAUCAGCAUGCCGCGGUGAAUACGUUUCCGGGCCUUGUACACACCGCCCGUCACACCACGAGAGUUUGCAACACCCGAUGU